rnacentral:rRNA from 1 species
GGCGAUCAGAUACCGCCCUAGUUCUGACCGUAAACGAUGCCAACUAGCGAUCCGCCAGUCGACUCAUCGCUCUGGUGGGGAGCUUCCCGGAAACGAAAGUCUUCCGGUUCCGGGGGAAGUAUGGUUGCAAAGCUGAAACUUAAAGGAAUUGACGGAAGGGCACCACCAGGAGUGGAGCCUGCGGCUUAAUUUGACUCAACACGGGGAAACUCACCCGGCCCGGACACCGUAAGGAUUGACAGAUUGAUAGCUUUUUCAUGAUUCGGUGGAUGGUGGUGCAUGGCCGUUCUUAGUUCGUGGAGCGAUUUGUCUGGUUUAUUCCGAUAACGAGCGAGACUCUGGCCUACUAAAUAGUUGACGCAUUGCCACUGUGCGCACAACUUCUUAGAGGGAUUUUCGGUGUUUUCAACCGCGCGAAAGUGAGCUAUCACAGGUCUGUGAUGCCCUUAGAUGUGCGGGGCUGCACGCGCGCUACACUGGCAAACGCAACGUGCCUGUCCUGCCCCGAACAGGAGCUGGUAAACACCUGGAAAUAUUUGCCGUGAUUGGGAUCGGACCUUGCAACUAUAGUCCGUGCACGAGGGAAUCCCUUGUUGGGGCUAGUCAUCGACUCGUCCUGAGUACGUACCUGACCUUCGUA